rnacentral:tRNA from 1 species
GCUCCCAUGGCGUAGUGGUCACUGCGCUCAGCUUGCACGCGGGAGACCCGGGUUCGAUUCCCGGCGGGGUCA